rnacentral:tRNA from 1 species
UUUUUUUAAAAUUAAAAACAACUAAUGUUUAAUAAAAACAAUUUUAAAAUAAAAAA